UGCCCAGACUCCUACGGGAGGCAGCAGUGGGGGAUAUUGCACAAUGGGGGGAACCCUGAUGCAGCGACGCCGCGUGGGUGAAGGAGUGCUUCGGCAUGUAAAGCCCUAUCGGCAGGGAAGAAGCAAGACGGUACCUGACUAAGAAGCCCCGGCUAACUACGUGCCAGCAGCCGCGGUAAUACGGAGGGGGCAAGCGUUAUCCGGAUUCACCGGGUGUAAAGGGAGCGUAGACGGCCAUGCAAGCCUGGAGUGAAAGCCCGGGGCCCAACCCCGGGACUGCUCUGGGAACUGUGCGGCUGGAGUGCGGGAGGGGCAGGCGGAAUUCCUGGUGUAGCGGUGAAAUGCGUAGAUAUCAGGAGGAACACCGGCGGCGAAGGCGGCCUGCUGGACCGCGACUGACGUUGAGGCUCGAAAGCGUGGGGAGCAAACAGGAUUAGAUACCCCAGUA
rnacentral:rRNA from 1 species